AGUCGCCGCGGUAAAACGGAGGGUGCAAGCGUUAUCCGGAUUUAUUGGGUUUAAAGGGUCCGUAGGCGGAUCUGUAAGUCAGUGGUGAAAUCUCACAGCUUAACUGUGAAACUGCCAUUGAUACUGCAGGUCUUGAGUAAAUUUGAAGUGGCUGGAAUAAGUAGUGUAGCGGUGAAAUGCAUAGAUAUUACUUAGAACACCAAUUGCGAAGGCAGGUCACUAAGAUUUAACUGACGCUGAUGGACGAAAGCGUGGGGAGCGAACAGGAUUAGAUACCCCAGUAGUCCCUGUCUCUUAUACA
rnacentral:rRNA from 1 species